ensembl:lncRNA
UGCGAAGCGCCCGUCCGGCUAGCUGCAGCCCGCAGCCGGGUCCCCUCGGGGGUACUCCCCCCAGAAGCCGGGCGGGAGCUGCCGCGGCGAGGUCCAGAGGGGGGACGAGCAUCAGGCUCCGCGCACGUCCACGGGUGGGCUGGGUUCUGGAUGCUGCAAGGCUGUCAGGAUGCUGCAAAAGACAUUGUUGCAUCUUCUUACCGCAGAGUUGGAGAAGUUUCUCUGUGUGCAGGGAAUACAACAUGUAUGGACAGGAAACUGGUUUCCUUGGUUUGUGGUUUUCUUGUUGCUGUUCUUUUUUAAGGGAUUAACACUCUUAGUUUCAGGAAACUGAAACUAGAUUUGAACAGGGAUUGGAGGGAGGAGGCAGGGUGAAUCCCAUGCAAGAGUCAAAUUUGUCUUGUUUCUGGGAGAACUAAAUAAAGCUGAAUUCAAUUGCCAGUGGCUAAAUAACAGCAAUUUAUGAACUGUUCAUCAAAAGCCCCAGUCAAGCACUGAGUACUGUGAGAAGCUGGAAAUUGACGCUGGGCACCUCCAAAAGACUCCGUUGCUGAAACUUAUUUUAAACCUUUUUCAAGUGGAGGAUCUAGUCCUGGCAAAUGCAUAAAGUCAGCCCUUUUAAGAGCAAAUAGCUUUCUCUAGAGAAUCUAACAAGCAGCUAAAGUCUGUCCGUUUGUCUGCCUGUCUUUUGGCCUUGGAUUACUGUGCUAUUUCAAAGUGUGUUUUCAUAACUCAUAAGUGGUAGAUGUUUCACAUAGCUCUACAAGUAGUAAUCAUGUUUGUGCGUAAUAUCCAAUAUCUAAGGGAUGGGCCCAAACCAGAAGUAUUUCUUGUUUACCUAUGAAGUGUCCUGCUUUAGCGUAUGUACAGUCAGUUCUUGUGGUGAACAUGUGAGUCCAUUGCUGCUCUAAAGGAGGUAGUGACUUAGUUUCAGUGGCUGUAGAGAGUUUCACUGAAAUAGCACUAUUUGUAGUCUUUCAUGUGAUUUAGAAGGCACAAUAGCAAGACAGUUCUGAAAAUGUAAUAUAAUUGUUUGCAGAGUUCUAAGAAAAUGCUCUGAAGUCUUCUCCCAUUGUACCAUUGUGAUAAAAAACUGUUGCUUUUCAAGCUCCACAAGUCCAUGCUGUGUAGUGCUGAAACUGAUAGAAAACCCAAUUAGCACUGGAAAGUGAAGGGCAGAGUGGGCUACUCUGGCCUGGAAUCCCCUCCCUUUGGCAGUAGGAAAGGUCAGUCAUGCAGCCAAAUGCCUGUAACCAAACAUGGAUCCACCCUGUGUGUGUUGCCAGCUCUCUGCAUAGGAGAGUGGAAGGAUGGGUAGAAAGAAUGGAUUCUGGAAGGGGAGAGGCUGAGAGGAAGAGUGGAGUAAAAGAUACCCUGAGCAUGACAGCUGGGAUUUUCGGAAGGUACUCUGCUGGAUGCUGGGCAUCCAACUUCCCUAAGACUCUCUAUCAAUACACUCUCUACAUUUUCAUGAAUGGCUUUUGGCCUGUUUGUCAAUCCUCACAGUCAUUGUGUGAGGGAGAAGAGAUAGAAGGCAGCUCACUCUAAUUUGGCAGCUCUUGGCACCUGGAACAGUCUAGGACUGUAAUAUCUCCUCGUGGCUGUUGGCUGAGGGUCUGAUCCUCUGAUGAGCUGUGACUUCCUUACUACCAGUGACUCAAAACAGGUUUAUAGGACUGGGCUUACAGAAGGCCUAAGGUGCCAGAUCCAAAGAUGUUUUUGGAGCAGGUCUGCUUAGUAGUCCUCAGUAUGGAUAUGAGCACACAGUUCUUUGGAGGCAACAUUCACUCCACAUUCAUAUUGUUUGGGACUUUUCAGAGUGUAAGAUGCCUUUAGUAAGGUGUGAAUAUACUGCAGAAGUCUGUGGGUACCUUUCAGAUAUAUGGCAGGCAGGUCAGAGACUUUAGACCAUACUGUGUGCCAGCACAAACAGCAGGGAUGUUAGUUACAGGAUAGCUUUGCUUUUGCUGUGAAACCUUGCUGAAACGAUGCAUUAUCUCAAGGAAGACAGUUGGGAUUUGCAGGCCAGAUCAUGUGAAUAAAGAAUUGCAUAUCCCCUAUUGAAACUAGUCUGAUUUAUACAGGUAUGGUCCAAAAUUUCUGAGAAAUUGUGGAUGGUAGGGGUUUUUGUUUGUUUGUUGCACCGAAAACUUGAAGCCUUUCAAAUAAAGUAUGUGAGAUAAACAGAUGGAGCAUGUGCUUUAGGCUGUUUGCUGGAUUCAGACUUUGAGCAUACAAGUGCUUUGUAGACAAUACUACACAGUAGUAGAAGAGGUUAUUGGGCUUGGAAGUUGACCAAGGAGACAGGACUCAGCUGAGCUUUGAACAGCAAUCAUUGUCCGUUUUGGUGAUGCCAUAAUAUGUGCUUGACUCGAACCCAAUGUUGCACAGGCCAGAACGUGAUGAAACCACGUAACUAGAUAUUUGUGAUUGUUCCUACCAGUGUGAUCCACUGUUAAAUAGGCUAGACAUAUGAAUAAAAUCAAUAUUUUU